AAAACACUGCGAGGAAUUAAAUGUAUACCGUCGUACAGCGGACGAACAAGAAUAAUAAAUACGACACAUUAUCUCGAGCGCCACGGGCAGAUACGUGUCCGUAUGCCCAUCGUGCACGAGACGUUGUAAUCGGAUCAGACGAACGUCGCAUUUAGGCGUUAUAAUGUCGAAACUAGGAUUUCGUUGAAACUACUUAAAGCAAUUAUACUGCGAAACAAGUGCGUUCACGUCCUACUGUUACCAACAAUACCGUACACCGGCCCGUCGUUAUCCGCGUACACGCACGUCACACGGGUUUCGCGUACAUGCAAAUACAUUUCGUUUGACACGCUACCGCUGGAGUGUACGCAAUGUUAUCAACUCGAGUGUUGGAGAGUUGGAUUCGUAUGGAAGUAUGAUAAACAGAGAUGUUGAAUUUUUUAUUAAAAAAAAAUAAAACGACAAAAAUGAAAAAAAACAUACGAUUCAAACUAUUCGAGGCGUACACUAUGCAUUAUAAGUGUAAUGCGUACAAUGCAAAUAAAUUAAAACGUAAAUAGAUAGCGAACAAUAUGGUUCAAUUCUUUACUCAAACAAUUAAAACAGAUGUGUUCGUCUACUGGUCGAAUAUAAUUGUUAAUACUUAUUUACAUAAUUGAAAUGUAUUAUUAUGGUUUGUAAUUUUUAAAUAUC
rnacentral:lncRNA from 1 species